rnacentral:rRNA from 1 species
CCUACGGGAGGCAGCAGUGAGGAAUUUUCCGCAAUGGGCGAAAGCCUGACGGAGCAAUACCGCGUGAGGGAUGAAGGAUUUUGGUCUGUAAACCUCUUUUCUCAAGAAAGAAGUUCUGACGGUACUUGAGGAAUAAGCAUCGGCUAACUCCGUGCCAGCAGCCGCGGUAAUACGGGGGAUGCAAGCGUUAUCCGGAAUGAUUGGGCGUAAAGCGCCUGUAGGUUGUUUAUUAAGUCCGUUGUUAAAGCCUAGGGCUCAACCCUAGAAAAGCAAUGGAAACUAGUAGACUAGAGUAUGGCAGGGGUAGAGGGAAUUUCUAGUGUAGCGGUGAAAUGCGUAGAUAUUAGAAAGAACACCGGUGGCGAAAGCGCUCUACUGGACCAUUACUGACACUCAGAGGCGAAAGCUAGGGUAGCAAAAGGGAUUAGAUACCCCUGUAGUCCUAGCCGUAAACGAUGGAUACUAGAUGUUGUGCAUUAUGUACAGUAUCGUAGCUAACGCGUUAAGUAUCCCGCCUGGGGAGUACGCUCGCAAGGGUGGAACUCAAAGGAAUUGACGG